GUCCUUAUAGUUCAGUGGAUAGAACAACCCCCUCCUAAGGGGUAGACGUAGGUUCGACUCCUGCUGGGGACACCA
rnacentral:tRNA from 1 species